UUCUAUUCGGUGAUCAACACUGAACACAGAGGACUCACCAUGGAGUUUGGGCUGAGCUGGGUUUUCCUUGUUGCUGUUUUCAAAGGUGUCCAGUGUGAGGUGUAGCUGGUGGAGUCUGGGGGAGGCUUGGUCCAGCCUGGGGGGUCCCUGAGACUCUCCUGUACGGCCUCUGGAUUCACCUUCAGUAGCACCAAGAUGAAUUGGAUCCGCCAGGCUCCAAGGAAGAGGCUGGAGUGGGUGGCUGACAUAAAGUAUGAUGGAAGUGAGAAAAACUAUGUAGACUCUGUGAAGGGCCGAUUCACCAUCUCCAGAGACAACACCAAGAACUCCCUCUAUCUGCAAAUGAACAGCCUGAGAGCUGAGGACACAGCCGUAUAUCACUGUGUGAGAGACACAGUGAGGGAGGUCAGUGUGAGCCCAGACACAAACCUCCCUGCAGGAGCGUAUGGAACCACCAGGGGGUGCUCAGGAUACACAGAGGACAGGGGCAGCCCCAGGGCAGGUGCAGGGGGAGGUCAAGGGCUGCUCUCCUUCAGGGUCUCUGGCUUCCUCUCAUCUAACAGUUCUCCAGAGGGCCUUGUAUGUUUACAGUUAUAUGCCUACUACUGA